AGUGAACGCUGGCGGUAGGCCUAACACAUGCAAGUCGAACGGCAGCACAGUAAGAGCUUGCUCUUACGGGUGGCGAGUGGCGGACGGGUGAGGAAUACAUCGGAAUCUACUUUUUCGUGGGGGAUAACGUAGUGAAACUUACUCUAAUACCGCAUACGACCUACGGGUGAAAGCAGUGGAUCUUCGGACCUUGCGCGAUUGAAUGAGCCGAUGUCGGAUUAGCUAGUUGGCGGGGUAAAGGCCCACCAAGGCGACGAUCCGUAGCUGGUCUGAGAGGAUGAUCAGCCACACUGGAACUGAGACACGGUCCGGACUCCUACGGGAGGCAGCAGUGGGGAAUAUUGGACAAUGGGCGCAAGCCUGAUCCAGCCAUACCGCGUGGGUGAAGAAGGCCUUCGGGUUGUAAAGCCCUUUUGUUGGGAAAGAAAAGCAGCAGGUUAAUACCCCGCUGUUCUGACGGUACCCACAGAAUAAGCACCGGCUAACUUCGUG
rnacentral:rRNA from 1 species